ACCCCCUUCGUGACUCAUUCAGAAUCAGAAAAGCAAGGUUUCAAAGUUCAAAAAUUUGGGUUCUAAAUUUUAACAAAAAGUUAGGGUUUUGUCGGCUCCGUCCGUUGUUGUCGGCACCUCCGCAGCCUCCUCCUUCCCCUUGUCCUGAACCCAGCCCCUCUCUUGUAGUUUGGCACGUCGUCCCCAUCCUCCCGUGGCUUCUCUGGUUGAGGGUUGGAGCUGCUCGUUGUCGUGUCACCGUCGUCUCCCCGCUCGCCAUCGUCUCGCCGCUCACCGUCUCGCUCACAUAGAGGAAGAAUCAUCGCAAGCGUCAUUGUUUCCUCCUCCUCUCAGUCAAGACAUCAUGUGCUUCUCAGGUGCGUCGUUGUCUGCUUAUCAGCCAUUCUACUCUCCGCGGUCCUUGUUGUCUGCGACCUUCAGUCACGCCGCGUCCUCUAUCUUAGGGUUCGUAGCUUUCUUCUUUUAAUUUCUUUGUAUGUUUUGGUAAUUUCUGAUGUGUUAAAUUUAUUUUUUUGUUUGGUUCUGCUUUGCUGCUAUUUUGUAUGUGUUGUGAUUUUGUUAUUUUAAUUUACUGAUUAUUGAUUAUUGAUUAUUGAAUGUAAUGUGAUUAUUGAUUAACUUUGGUUUUUCUAUGUUGCUGUUUUGUGUGUUAUUGUUGUUGAUUGUUCUAGAUUUUUGAAUGUGAAAUCAUUGAUUUUGUGUUGUUAUGAUGUUGCUGUUAUUUUUUUUUGUUACUAAUCGUUCUUGAUUUCUGAAUGUGAAAUUAUUGAUUUUGUGUUGUUUUGUUGCUACUGUUGUUUUUUUUAGAGUGAUUAUUUGUUACUGUUUUUUAAUUUUUGUUGUUGAUUGUUCUUGACAUUAAAGUUUGUGAAGUUGUUGAGGACUUAAAACUUGACUACUUGGUAAUGGAUAGCAGAGGCUUGGGUGCCAUUCAGAGGGUAUUGCUGGAAAGUGUUACAAAUUAUGUAACUACAAAAUACAAAUGUAAUUUGUCCUGUAACAAUUGUCAAAGACUUUGUCCCUUUUACCAUUUGAUCAUGUUGUUGUUCUCUAUUGAUAGUGUUUUUAGUUUUUAUAAAUAAAUAAGCUUUGUAUUGAACUGUACAUAUAUGAUUCAGUGUAUCUUGUUGGAA